rnacentral:rRNA from 1 species
AGAGUUUGAUCCUGGCUCAGGAUGAACGCUGGCGGCGUGCCUAAUACAUGCAAGUCGAGCGAACUGAUUAGAAGCUUGCUUCUAUGACGUUAGCGGCGGACGGGUGAGUAACACGUGGGCAACCUGCCUGUAAGACUGGGAUAACUUCGGGAAACCGAAGCUAAUACCGGAUAGGAUCUUCUCCUUCAUGGGAGAUGAUUGAAAGAUGGUUUCGGCUAUCACUUACAGAUGGGCCCGCGGUGCAUUAGCUAGUUGGUGAGGUAACGGCUCACCAAGGCAACGAUGCAUAGCCGACCUGAGAGGGUGAUCGGCCACACUGGGACUGAGACACGGCCCAGACUCCUACGGGAGGCAGCAGUAGGGAAUCUUCCGCAAUGGACGAAAGUCUGACGGAGCAACGCCGCGUGAGUGAUGAAGGCUUUCGGGUCGUAAAACUCUGUUGUUAGGGAAGAACAAGUACGAGAGUAACUGCUCGUACCUUGACGGUACCUAACCAGAAAGCCACGGCUAACUACGUGCCAGCAGCCGCGGUAAUACGUAGGUGGCAAGCGUUAUCCGGAAUUAUUGGGCGUAAAGCGCGCGCAGGCGGUUUCUUAAGUCUGAUGUGAAA